AUGAACGCUAGCGACAGGCUUAACACAUGCAAGUCGAGGGGCAGCACAGGUAGCAAUACCGGGUGGCGACCGGCGCACGGGUGAGUAACGCGUAUGCAACUUACCUAUCAGAGGGGGAUAACCCGGCGAAAGUCGGACUAAUACCGCAUGAAGCAGGGGCCCCGCAUGGGGAUAUUUGCUAAAGAUUCAUCGCUGAUAGAUAGGCAUGCGUUCCAUUAGGCAGUUGGCGGGGUAACGGCCCACCAAACCGACGAUGGAUAGGGGUUCUGAGAGGAAGGUCCCCCACAUUGGUACUGAGACACGGACCAAACUCCUACGGGAGGCAGCAGUGAGGAAUAUUGGUCAAUGGCCGAGAGGCUGAACCAGCCAAGUCGCGUGAGGGAUGAAGGUUCUAUGGAUCGUAAACCUCUUUUAUAAGGGAAUAAAGUGCGGGACGUGUCCCGUUUUGUAUGUACCUUAUGAAUAAGGAUCGGCUAACUCCGUGCCAGCAGCCGCGGUAAUACGGAGGAUCCGAGCGUUAUCCGGAUUUAUUGGGUUUAAAGGGUGCGUAGGCGGCCUUUUAAGUCAGCGGUGAAAGUCUGUGGCUCAACCAUAGAAUUGCCGUUGAAACUGGGGGGCUUGAGUAUGUUUGGGGCAGGCGGAAUGCGUGGUGUAGCGGUGAAAUGCAUAGAUAUCACGCAGAACCCCGAUUGCGAAGGCAGCCUGCCAAGCCAUUACUGACGCUGAUGCACGAAAGCGUGGGGAUCAAACAGGAUUAGAUACCCUGGUAGUCCACGCAGUAAACGAUGAUCACUAGCUGUUUGCGAUACACUGUAAGCGGCACAGCGAAAGCGUUAAGUGAUCCACCUGGGGAGUACGCCGGCAACGGUGAAACUCAAAGGAAUUGACGGGGGCCCGCACAAGCGGAGGAACAUGUGGUUUAAUUCGAUGAUACGCGAGGAACCUUACCCGGGUUUGAACGCAUUCGGACCGAGGUGGAAACACCUUUUCUAGCAAUAGCCGUUUGCGAGGUGCUGCAUGGUUGUCGUCAGCUCGUGCCGUGAGGUGUCGGCUUAAGUGCCAUAACGAGCGCAACCCUUGCCACUAGUUACUAACAGGUAAAGCUGAGGACUCUGGUGGGACUGCCAGCGUAAGCUGCGAGGAAGGCGGGGAUGACGUCAAAUCAGCACGGCCCUUACAUCCGGGGCGACACACGUGUUACAAUGGCGUGGACAAAGGGAAGCCACCUGGCGACAGGGAGCGAAUCCCCAAACCACGUCUCAGUUCGGAUCGGAGUCUGCAACCCGACUCCGUGAAGCUGGAUUCGCUAGUAAUCGCGCAUCAGCCAUGGCGCGGUGAAUACGUUCCCGGGCCUUGUACACACCGCCCGUCAAGCCAUGGGAGCCGGGGGUACCUGAAGUCCGUAACCGCGAGGAUCGGCCUAGGGUAAAACU
rnacentral:rRNA from 1 species